rnacentral:tRNA from 1 species
GCAUUGGAGGUUCAGUGGUAGAAUUCUCACCUUUCAUGCAGGAGAUCUGGGUUACAUUCCCAGCCAAUGCA